rnacentral:rRNA from 1 species
AUGGCGGGGCGCGCGGCGGUGCGGAGCUGCGUGCAGACGGCGCUCAAGGCGGCCAACUCCGUCGUGGGGCUCGCCGGCAUGGCCGUCAUCCUCUACGCGCUCUGGGUGCUCCGCGCCUGGUCCCAGCAGGCCGCCGGCCACCUCCCCGCCCCCUGGUUUAUCUACACUCUUCUCAGCCUGGGGAUCAUCAUGUGCUUGCUGACUUGCUCGGGUCACAUCGCCGCCGAAACGGCAAACAACCCCUGCCUGUCUUGUCACAUGAUCUUUGUAUUCUUGCUUGUGAUACUGGAAGCUGCAAUCGCCGCUGAUGUAUUUCUGAAUAGCUACUGGGAGGAGGAUUUCCCAGAUGACCCAUCCGGGAAGUUUGAUGAAUUCAAGCAUUUCGUGAGAUCAAAUUUUGACAUAUGUGAGUGGGUGGCCCUCUCGGUGGUGGCUGCUCAGGCACUAUCAAUCAUUCUUGCAAUGGUACUUAGGGCCCUUGGGCCCGAAAAUGAAAUCGAAUACGACAGUGACGAUGAUGCGGUGCCUGCAAGGCUGCCUCUCCUAAGGAACAAGCCCCAGCAUGGUCCAAACUAUGGCGAACCUAACUCACCUCGCAGGAUUGAUUCAUGGCAUGUGCGAAUCUUAGACAAGGCCAACGAACAAUAA